UACGUAGGGUGCAAGCGUUAAUCGGAAUUACUGGGCGUAAAGCGUGCGCAGGCGGUUCGCUAAGACAGAUGUGAAAUCCCCGGGCUUAACCUGGGAACUGCAUUUGUGACUGGCGGGCUAGAGUAUGGCAGAGGGGGGUAGAAUUCCACGUGUAGCAGUGAAAUGCGUAGAGAUGUGGAGGAAUACCGAUGGCGAAGGCAGCCCGCUGGGCCAAUACUGACGCUGAGACGCGAAAGCGUGGGGAGCGAACAGG
rnacentral:rRNA from 1 species